rnacentral:snRNA from 1 species
GGAUGUGAGGGCGAUCUGGCUGCGACAUCUGUCACCCCAUUGAUCGCCAGGGUUGAUUCGGCUGAUCUGGCUGGCUAGGCGGGUGUCCCCUUCCUCCCUCACCGCUCCAUGUGCGUCCCUCCCGAAGCUGCGCGCUCGGUCGAAGAGGACGACCUUCCCCGAUAGAGGAGGACCGUUCUUCGGUCAAGGGUAUACGAGUAGCUGCGCUCCCCUGCUAGAACCUCCAAACAAGCUCUCAAGGUCCAUUUGUUAUAGUCUUGCUGUGAGAUGGGUUUUAUGUCUCUGGAACAUUCCUUCAGUCUACCCUUUCUGGAGGUUGUGACUUCCAUG